rnacentral:lncRNA from 1 species
AAGGGAGUUCACAGCUGUCCCUAAGGCAACUUACCCUAUUCCAGAUUGAGCUUGUGGAAUCCCCAGAUGUAGCCACUUCUCUUCCUACCACAGUCAGUAGGAGGCAGCUGGUGUUGGUAUGGGAAAGCAGGAAGGUCAGAUCCCCAGGACAAGGAGAGCCUCGGCAGGCACAAGGGGAUUAUCUGACCAGUUGCCCACCCAAGAUGGACUGGCCAUGAGCAGGACUUAAGGUUCCAUAUAGGGUGCCAUAUUUGUUAUGCCCAAAGAGGGGGGUCAUCUGCCAGCCGCAAGAUGUGCCAAUAAUCAAGAGGCAAGGUGUUGGCUUCCCUUAUGUCAACCUUGAGUGGUGCAAGUAACAUGGGGACAUCGGAGCAUCCAGUCAGGCAGACGCCCUUCUGAGCGACGGAGCAGGUGGCACAUCCGAGAAAUAGCCCUGGAUGCUGUGUCUCAUUUGGCCCUUGAAGCCUGUAGGAAAAGAAGGUUCCCUCAGUUCUCCUCACUCACCCUCAGGGGCCGCACGACCCCUCACCCCUGACCUCUCCUCCCAGAGACUUCUCUCAAGUUUUCUCCAUGUCCCACCCCUCAUGACUGAAGGCCCAAGUCCCUGGACACUGCCUGGAAGCCAUGCUGUUGUUGCUGGCCCUCCCACUCCUCUCAGGGGCUGCCUGCGGCACCCAUGAGACGCAGGGCCCAGGCGGCUCCUACUCCUACAUCAGGGGAGGAGCGGGGGAGACCCAGGCCAUCGGGUCUUCGUGGGGAUAAUGGGCCUCAUCAAGGGGUGAGUAAGACCCGGGGCCCUGGGCUGGGUCCCCACAUGGUCCCCGAAUGUGCUGACUCCACACUGCUUCUCCGAGGACGCUUUCAAACCCCCGGAGCCCCUAGAGCAGGCCCUGCCCUUCCACCUCUGCUUCCUCCCGACCUCACCCCUGUGCCCUCACACUCAACCCCGUGGCCUGGCCUGAUGUCCCACCCAGGGCCAGGAUGCUGGAGGGAGAGGGAACGACACAGGCUGGGGGUGAGGGGAUGGGUAGCCAGUUCUGACCGAGGCUGCUGAAAAAGCCUUGAAGUUCCCAAGGACCAGCUUCACGGUGUCAGGAUGGUGCCAUCUGGAGGAUCGCCUCUCUGGAAUUUUCUGGCUGCCUUAGGUUCCCUGGCUAGUAAACGGCAGAAACCUGCUCAGGCUAGGAAGACCACCAGCGUCUCCCCCGGUUCGUCACCUGCAGCUCUGUCUCCCCCACUGCUCCUUUGCUCUGUCCUCCAGGGCUGUCUCCCCGACAGGCCCCAUCCUCACCUCGCCCACCAGCUUCUGCCUCCAGGGGCCUCUCCUUCUUCCCCAACGCCCAAGGUAUCUUGGGGUA